rnacentral:misc_RNA from 1 species
GAACGCACAUUGCGCCCGUUAGUAUUCUGACGGGCAUGCCUGUCCGAGCGUCAUUUCAACCCUCAAGCACGGCUUGGUGUUGGCGGAUUGCGUGCCCUAGCGGCGCUGCAACCGCCCAAAUACAGUGGCGGUCCCGCUGCGGCUCCCUUUGCGUAGUAACUCACCUCGCACUGGACCGGGCGGCGGCUCGCCGUAAAACCCCAACUCACGAAAUGUUGACCUCGGAUCAGGUAGGAAUACCCGCUGAACUUAAG